AGUGGCUUGGUUAAGGUAAAAUAACCGUAUCCGUAGCAAAAGCGAGUCUUAAAAGGGCAAAAAUUGUCAUUGUUUAUGGACCCGAACCUGGGUGAUCUAUCUAUGACCAGGAUGAAAAUUGGUUAAAACUAAGUUGAGGUCCGAACCAACUGAUGUUGAAAAAUCAGUGGAUGAGUUGUGGUUAAGGGUGAAAUGUCACUCGAACCCAGAGCUAGCUGGUUCUCCCCGAAAUGCGUUGAGGCGCAGCAGUUGACUGUAUAUCUAGGGGUAAAGCACUGUUUCAAUUGGGGCCACAUAAUAGUGGUGCCACAUCGAGACAAACUCUGAAUACUAGAUAUUUAUACAAAAGAUUAAAGGUCAACUAGUGAGACAGUGAGGGAUAAGCUUCAUUGUCAAAAGGGAAACAGCCCAGAUCACCAGAUAAGGCCCCUAAAUGACCGCUCAGUGAUAAAGGAAGUAUAACAGCCCAAAUUCUUAAGCACCAAGGUAUUGUCCGCUUUGGCCUGAAAGUCCUCACGGUUUUACCCACAGAAAAUAACUUCCCAGCAGGUCACCCAUCCUGGGAAUGCUCCCACUUGAGCACGCUUAACUUUGGAAUUCUUAUCAGGAACUCCACAGUUAUCUAAAAAGGCGCCUCGAUAUUUAAGAGUUUCACUUAUUACUACUUAAGUGGGUCAUCACAAUCUCCACAACUUAAGUAACUGACGUCCUCAUCAGUAUCUACACACAUAUCCAAAAACUAUCCACUGGGUAGAUAGGACUAGAGGUGACCCCUACAAGCGCAAGAGGUACCCACAACCAUGUAGCAUCUUAACCAUCAUUGGUUCAAGAGGCUGCUCACAUGAAGUGGUACUUUGCCCUGUAUGGCACUUAGCUUCUAUCUAACACCCUAUGGUUUGCUCUGAUACCAUUUGUAACAGCCCAAAUUCUUAAGCACCAAGGUAUUGUCUACUUUGGCCUGAAAGGCCUCACGAUUUUGCCCACAGAAGAUAACUUCCCAGCAGGUCACCCAUCCUGGGAAUGCUUUCACCUGAGCACGCUUAACUUUGGAGUUCUUAUCAGGAACUCUACUGUUAUCUGAAAAGGCGCCUCGAUAUUUAAGAGUUUCACUUAUUACUACUUAAGUGGGUCAUCAUAGGAAGUGGGAGUGCAUAGACAACCAGUAAGUUUGCCUAAAAGCAGCAACCUUUUAAAGAGUGUGUAAUAGCUCACAGAUCAAGCGCUCUCGCACCAAAGAUGAAGGGGGCUAAGCGAUCUGUCGAAGCUGUGAGAUUUUUUAAAGUUUUAUAUCUUAUUAUAUCUAAAAUGUAAUAUAAAAAUUAUCGGUAGAGGAGCAUUCCGCCUUAAAGAGAAAUACCUUGCUUAAGCAGGUGGUAGACGAAGCGGAAGUGAGAAUAUCGGCUUGAAUAAUGAAAACAUUGGUGAGAAUCCAAUGCCCCAAAAACCUAAGGGUUCCUCCAUAAAGGUCGUCUAGGGAGGGUUAGUCAGGGCCUAAGAUCAUGUCAAAAGGCGCAAUCGAUGGCUAACAGGUAAAUAUUCAUGUAUUAUUUUUUUUGUUAUUAAGGGAUGGAGGAGGCUAGGUUAUCCAAAAAUUAUUGUUAUUGGUUUAAAGGGUAAGGAUAAAUUCAUUAAAUAUGGGUCAUAAGGGAUAGAGUAAAUAUCUCAAACUAAUACCUGAAUAAUAAGUGCUAUUUUGUUCUUAAGGCUUAAGUAACUAAUGUCAUACUCCCAUGAAAAGCUCUAAAUAUAUUAAACAAGAAAGGAACCUGUACCCAAAACCAACACAGGUAGGUAGGUUGAGAAUACCUAGGGGCGCGAGACAACUCUCUCUAAGGAACUCGGCAAAAUAGCCCCGUAACUUCGGGAUAAGGGGUGCCUCUUAAAUAUAAAAAGUCACAGCGGCCAGGCCAGAGCGACUGUUUACCAAAAACACAGGUCUCCGCAAAGUCGUAAAGACCAUGUAUGGGGGCUGACGCCUGCCCAGUGCCGGAAGGUUAAAGAAGUUAGUGGUCGUGAUUUAUAACAGGGUAGCUGACAACCUAAGCCCCAGUGAACGGCGGACGUAACUAUAACGGUCAUAAGGUAGCGAAAUUCCUUGUCGGGUAAGUUACGACCCGCACGAAUGGCGUAACAAUCUGGGCGCUGUCUCGGAGAGGGACUCGGUGAAAUAGACCUGUCUGUUAAGAUGCGGACUACCUGUACCUGGACAGAAAGACCCUAUGAAGCUUUACUGUACCCUAGGAUUGGUUAUAAGCUAUUCUUGCGCAGAUUAGGUGGAAGGCGACAAAAAUACUUCUUAUGGGAAGGAUCGAGCCAUUAUUGAGAUACCACUCUAGAAGAGCUAAAUUCCUAACCUUGUGUCAUAAAUUAUGGCCGAGGGACAUUCUCAGGUAGACAGUUUAUAUGGGGCAUAGGCCUCCUAAAAAGUAACGGAGGCGCGCAACGGUUUCUUUGAGCCAGGCGGAAAUUGGCUUUAUACAUGUAAGGGCAUAAAGAAGCUUGACUGCAAGACCCACUUGUCAAGCAGGGACGAAAGUCGGCCUUAGUGAUCCGACGGUGCCGAGUGGUAGGGCUGUCGCUCAAUGGAUAAAAGUUACUCUAGGGAUAACAGGCUGAUCUUCCCCAAGAGUUCACAUCGACAGGAAGGUUUGGCACCUCGAUGUCGGCUCGUCGCCACCUGGGGCUGUAGUAGGUUCCAAGGGUUGGGUUGUUCGUUCAUUAAAGCAGUACGUGAGCUGGGUUCAGAACGUCGUGAGACAGUUCGGUCCAUAUCCGGUAUAGGCGUUAGAGCAUCGAGAGGACUUUUCCCUGGUACGAGAGGACCGGGAAGGACGCACCUCUGGUGUACCAGUUAUUGUGCCAUCAGUAAACGCUGGGUAGUCAAGUGCGGAGUGAAUAACUGCUGAAAGCAUCUAAGUAGGAAGCCCACCACAGGAUGAUUGCUCUCUUAUUUUAUCUGUUGCUUACUUUACUUUAUUAACUUAAUUGAUAAUUUAAUAAUUGAUUAUUUAAGCCCAAUAUAAGGUCGCGGCGAGAUUAGCCGUUUUUAUUAUUAGUAGUUAUAUUAAUAUUAAUAAUAGGUGUUAGGUGUAAGUGCAAUGAUGUAUGUAGCUGAAGCAUCCUAAAAAAUAAAGUAAAAAAA
rnacentral:rRNA from 1 species